UCUCUCUCUCUCUCUCUCUCUCUAAUUAAAGGUGCCUCUCAACCGUAAGUAGGGUUAAUCACCUCAAUUAGGUUUAGUCCUCGCUCUCCUUCGCUCUGGCCGCCGAUUAAAGUAGCGAAUCGAAGUAGCGAAUUUAUGGGUCUUUCUAGAUUUUAUGGGUCUUCAUGAAUAUCUUCUAAUUGAUACUAUUAUAUCGACUUUUUCAUGGAUUUUGUACUAAUUAGGACUGUAAUCUUCAUUUUGCAGGCGAUUAGGGCUCUUUCUUGAGGCUUGAAGUUGGGAAUUUUACUUGGGAUUUCAGCUAGCAAAUAUGGUACGCACGAAGCAAACUGCGCGUAAGUCGACCACUGGCUACGCCGAGAACUGUUUGAGGGUGAAGGUAGUUAUAUAUGAUAUAAGCGGCUUUCGCUAUUAUACUUUGCACUAGUUAUAUGGGCUGAUCCACACUCUGAACUUUUAAGAUCUUUUGGGACUGUAUUUCACUCUUUUGGAUUUGUAAUUAACUAAAUUGUAUCUUUUGGGGAUUCAUAUUAUGUAAUCUAAAUUUCCAGAUUUAUUAUUUAUUUGCCACUUGUUCA